rnacentral:rRNA from 1 species
UUGCCUACGGGACGCAGCAGUGGGGAAUAUUGCACAAUGGGGGGAACCCUGAUGCAGCAACGCCGCGUGAAGGAAGAAGGGAUUAGUCUCGUAAACUUCUAUCAAUAGGGACGAAGGAAGUGACGGUACCUAAAUAAGAAGCCCCGGCUAACUACGUGCCAGCAGCCGCGGUAAUACGUAGGGGGCGAGCGUUAUCCGGAAUUACUGGGUGUAAAGGGAGAGUAGGCGGCAUGGUAAGCGAGAUGUGAAAGCCCGCGGCUUAACCGCGAGGAUUGCAUUUGGAACUAUCAAGCUAGAGUACAGGG